rnacentral:tRNA from 1 species
GACCUGGUAGCUCAGCUGGUAGAGCGGCUCCCUUUUAAGGAGAAGGUCCCGGGUUCGAUCCCCGGCCGGGUCA